rnacentral:lncRNA from 1 species
UCCUCCCUAAACGAUCAUACCAACUAAACUAAGCCUCCAGGAAUCUCAGGCUAGCAGCUGUUUUCAGACUUGGUAUUUCACUAAUGAAGGAUUGGUUCCCAAACUAGAGCAGUCGGGAGAAACAUAAGCUUGUACAUGCCAAAAAGGAGGGAGGGAAAAGAAAAGGAAGAAGACGACCUUGGAUUAUUUCAUUUAAGUUCCAAACUGGAUAAUCAGUACAACCAUUGUAGUUUCUGUGAAGUAGGCAUCGCCGGAGAAACUCCACUACCACCUGUUAAACCCUCCCAGUAAAUGAGAAAAAGGGCGGAGGAACUGGUAUAGGAACAUUGAUGCCAAGCUGGAUAGAAGCGAAUCAUGUUAAACAUGCUUGCAUUUCACUCCAAGUGCCUAUUUCAUGCAGAAAUAAACACUCCACGAGAUAAAUUUUGUGAACCCUCUAAUAUGAGAAGAUUAAUGCUGAGAAUCUUCAAGAAAAUAUCAAAGCUAAAUCACCCUAUAAGUAAUUCUCCAUUGUUCCUCUAAUUUUGCAUGAGUUAUCAAAUCUUUCCAAAAAAAAGGGUAAUUGAAGCCAAAUAACAAAUAAGUUAUCAGUCUGUCUGUAGCUCUAAAUAUUCUCCAAUGAUACAAGUGAUUUUUUUAUUUACCUGCCCAGCAUCUAUUUCCGUUAAUUGGAUUCCUUUCAGCAGCAGCAG